UACGGAGGGUGCAAGCGUUAUCCGGAUUCACUGGGUUUAAAGGGUGCGCAGGCGGGCUAUUAAGUCCGUGGUGAAAUCCCGGGGCUCAACCCCGGAACUGCCAUGGAUACUAUUAGUCUUGAAUGUUGUUGAGGUGGGCGGAAUAGGUCAUGUAGCGGUGAAAUGCAUAGAUAUGACCUAGAACACCGAUUGCGAAGGCAGCUCACUGGACAAAUAUUGACGUUCAGGCACGAAAGCGUGGGGAUCAAACAGG
rnacentral:rRNA from 1 species